rnacentral:lncRNA from 10 species
GUUACCUUCUCAACAUGGCGAGCUUGCUGGACGUCACGUCGCCUUCGCCUUUUCCGCUGCGGACUCUGCUCACCGACCUCCUCAGUAGAGCCGGCCCUGCUCACUACCGCGCCCACGUGUCCUGUUGUGCUUCAUUCCCACAGGCCGCAUAAGAAGUGGGUGCCGAGGCUCCCUUCCCACUGCCAUUCCACUGGCCCAGAGGAAGCUUCUGUUGUGUUCAGAUGGGCAGGCACUCUUCCUCGAGAAGUUAAGUAGCCGGAAUAUCUAAAUGCCUCUCCUUGGCGAUUACUCGAUGAGCGCCUGUCCUUCCUCCACUCUUCCAGCAGACCUGCCUUUUGGGGCUGAUGGAAAUAUGCAUAUUAGAUUAUCUGCAGAAACUGGCUCAGCACUACAAGGAGGCUGCCAACAUGAAGACACUGGAUGCGGAAUCAGGAGGAGAUGUAUACAGCUCAGUCUCCAAAGCCAGGACAAGCCAGCUCCAACACACUACUGGCUGAAUCUCACCAAUCGUUAUAGUUUUGUUUUUUGUUUUUUUAAAUGUAUUUAAGCAUUUUUAGGUGUUUUAAAUUUUAUGUGUGUAUUCUAGGAAUAUGUACUCAGAUUCUUUCAUUAGGCAUGUGUUAUUAACAACAUUCAUCUUCUUAAAGGCUGAACCAACUUUGCGCGUUUUAUCAACAGAUAUUCACUGAGCACCUAAUAUUGCCAGGCUGUGCUCAAGGCAGUGGGAUUCAUCAGUGAACAAUACAGACAAAAAUCACUGACCUAAAUGGAGCUUGAAGUUUAUAUCUAAAUCAUUCAAAGAUUCUGUGGUGGAAAAGAAGUUAGAAAUCUUUCAGCUGCAAAACAUAAGCCAAAAUACAACUCACCUUUGGAAUCAGAGAACUUACAGGUUCAUAAAAUUGCGAAGCCCAGAUGUGCACCUGAGGUGAGACUUCGUCCAGCUUCUGUCUGUGUCACUAAUCUUUCCUGCUUUCAGCGGCAUCCCUCGCAGGCCCGUGUUGUUCCCAACUGGUGUUCCCACCUGGCGGCAAACUGGUGACUGUAGUUACAGAUCUUCAACAUCACACUCAGGAGAAGAAGGAGAUUGCUUUUCAGGAGCUCCUGCAAGCCGGAGAAUAAAAGCUCUUAUUUAUUCAGAAGCCCUAAAACAUACCACCUUGGCUAUAGACUAUUUGGACAUUUCUAAGCAAAUCUGUCUGCAAAGGUGCUGAGCUGUGUUGAUCAACUGAAGCCCGUGACGUCUCAUCCUUGCAGUUGGAGCAAAUCUCAAAGGCAAAGCCAGUGUUAAGGAGAGGGAAAUCAGACUUCAUCUUUCGAUGGGAGAAGAAAAGAGUUUGCAACUGUCUCUAUUCUGCCACUGGCAGAGAAUCCAUAGGUUUGCUAAGGAUACAGAGCCACAUUGAAAAGAUAAACCUUGCUAUGCUGGAGAUUACUUAGGUGGGCCAGGAUUUCUUGAAACCAAAACUUUACUGAAUCACCUCUUCACCAUCUGUAUGCCGUGCAUUUGCUGAG